UACGAACCGUGCGAACGUUGUUCGGAAUCACUGGGCUUAAAGGGCGCGUAGGCCGGCCGCCAAGUCAGGGGUGAAAUCCUCCAGCUUAACUGGAGAACUGCCUCUGAUACUGGCGGCCUCGAGGAAGGUAGGGGCGUGUGGAACUCUAGGUGGAGCGGUGAAAUGCGUUGAUAUCUAGAGGAACUCCGGUGGCGAAGGCGACACGCUGGACCUUUUCUGACGCUGAGGCGCGAAAGCCAGGGGAGCAAACGGG
rnacentral:rRNA from 1 species